rnacentral:rRNA from 1 species
CCUACGGGUGGCAGCAGUGGGGAAUAUUGCACAAUGGGCGCAAGCCUGAUGCAGCCAUGCCGCGUGUGUGAAGAAGGCCUUCGGGUUGUAAAGCACUUUCAGCGGGGAGGAAGGCGUUAAGGUUAAUAACCUUGGCGAUUGACGUUACCCGCAGAAGAAGCACCGGCUAACUCCGUGCCAGCAGCCGCGGUAAUACGGAGGGUGCAAGCGUUAAUCGGAAUUACUGGGCGUAAAGCGCACGCAGGCGGUCUGUCAAGUCGGAUGUGAAAUCCCCGGGCUCAACCUGGGAACUGCAUUCGAAACUGGCAGGCUAGAGCCUUGUAGAGGGGGGUAGAAUUCCAGGUGUAGCGGUGAAAUGCGUAGAGAUCUGGAGGAAUACCGGUGGCGAAGGCGGCCCCCUGGACAAAGACUGACGCUCAGGUGCGAAAGCGUGGGGAGCAAACAGGAUUAGAUACCCGUGUAGUC